rnacentral:lncRNA from 1 species
CCACCAGGUUGGGUAUGGGCAGAGCCGUGUAGAGAGAGUUGCGACAACGGAAGUCCAAAACGCUGGACCGUCACGUGAUUCAUGCAAGACUGAGGGUGUAGUCAUACUGCCAGCUCGAGCCGUUCCAAGCUCAUAGCAGGAACCCCUCCCCGUCCCUCCCCUGGCACGGUAGGACGGCCGCGAUCACCAGUUCCCACAGACAAACACGUCAUCACGAUCAUUUACGACACACAUGUGGCAUGGCGUCAUCAUUAAGCGACUCUGGGUUUGUUGAGUAUAUGCUGUUAAUUUAAUAUCUUCUCUUGCGUAGUGUAACUGUACGUCUAGAUUUACAUAGACACGUUCUCUUUUCACAGCUGGAUUAUACGAACGGACUGGGUUUCCCAGGGCUCCUGAACGCAACACGAUAAUUUAAAUGACCGUAACUGCUCAUAUUUGCUCUAUCAGAGAAAUAACAUCAGUUUACGAAAUAUAAGUUACUCUUUGCAGUCGGUGAAUAUAAUUUUACUCAUACGUGAUUGAAACAUUAAAGAUGCCGCUUUGUUUUGUCGAAAUCGACACAAGGAAAAGAGAGAGAACCAAAGUCUGAGUGAGAAAGAAAGAGACCAAACAAUGGUGGAUUUAAUUGAAGACUCUUGGAUGAUAAAUCCACCAUGGAUGGAGGUUCAAAAGGAUUUGAAAACAAAGAAGGAAACAGUCUAUAAAUUAAGGCAAGGUCCAAGCAGAGUGGACACGCCCCUCCCUGGACAUUAAAACCAUGUGCUGACCCUAGUUUCCAUCAUCUGGUUUAGACCCAUCACAUGAGACCAUGGGAUGCACUUAUUUAUUAAAGUGUAUGUUAAAUGAUUAUUUAAUGUUCUGCAAUUUUAUUUUCUAGGAGAUAUUUUUCAUUGUUUCACUUAUUUAGAGACUUAAGGAAGAAUUAUUUGAUGUUUCAAGGACAGAUUGUUAUAAUGCAUAAUGAAGGUGAAUGACUUGAGUCACCACUAAUUUCAGAUUGUUUUUAAGUCUUGAUAUAAAGAGACUUUAACAGGACAACAAUGAUGUGCAGGGCUGCAGUAAUACUGUCCUCAUACAAUAUUAACACCAACAACAUCCACUGGACACGCCACCAGAGAAACGUGCAGUGAAUAUUUUACAAAUUAAAAAAAGUUCACUGAUGGUGACAUUGAGAUAUUGUGUGACAAAGAUAUCAAAAGUUGUUAUUUUGAGAAGAG